AUGUGCAGCCGUAGCAUCUCUCGAUUGUCUUCUCAGGACUCCAGAGAACCGUUGGGGGAACUUUGGGGUGUGCUCGGAAAAUGCAGGGUGCGCACCGAGGGCGAGGGACUAGCUGGGAAGGGUGUGCCUGUGCUUGGGGAUGGGAGCAGGAAGUGUCUGGGACCUCGUCGCCCCCCGCGGCGGUGUAUAAACCCGGGCGGGCCGUCAGAGCGGAGCUUCAGAGCAGAGACAAGAGCCCAGAAAGGAGCAGAUGCUAGAUUUGCAAGAUCAGAAGCAGGUCUUGAUCCUCCUGCCCAGAAUGAACCAGACUUGAUGAUGCCACCUUCAGGAGCCACCACACUGUGUGACAGUGGGGCAUUUGGGCCGUCCCUGGGAAGUACAGCUGAACCACAGUCCUCUGUACUCGCCCAGGAGCCACAGAGAGUGAACAUCCCUCAGGCUUCACAAGGUGCACUUGUACUUCCAACCCUAAGAGACAGAGUGAUGUUCAGCAUGACUCCAUAAUCCUGUGGCCUUGAGAACCUCAGCAGACAUCAGACAAUGAGAAUACAGUUUCCUCCGAAAAAAUCUUAGGCUGAUCUUGGAAGAAAGACCCCCUGGAUCAUCUAAAAAUAAAGUUUUCUAUUUAAAGGUUGGUUUUAAUGUU
rnacentral:lncRNA from 1 species